UACAGAGGGUGCGAGCGUUGUCCGGAAUCACUGGGCGUAAAGGGUGCGUAGGCGGCGCGGUAAGUCGGGUGUGAAAUCUCGGGGCUUAACUCCGAAACUGCAUUCGAUACUGCCGUGCUUGAGGACUGGAGAGGAGACUGGAAUUUACGGUGUAGCGGUGAAAUGCGUAGAUAUCGUAAGGAAGACCAGUGGCGAAGGCGGGUCUCUGGACAGUUCCUGACGCUGAGGCACGAAGGCCAGGGGAGCAAACGGG
rnacentral:rRNA from 1 species